AGUUCGGUGGGGAUUAGUGGCGAACGGGUGAGUAACACGUGGGCAAUCUGCCCUUCACUCUGGGACAAGCCCUGGAAACGGGGUCUAAUACCGGAUAUGAGCCUGGGAGGCAUCUCCCGGGUUGUAAAGCUCCGGCGGUGAAGGAUGAGCCCGCGGCCUAUCAGCUUGUUGGUGAGGUAAUGGCUCACCAAGGCGACGACGGGUAGCCGGCCUGAGAGGGCGACCGGCCACACUGGGACUGAGACACGGCCCAGACUCCUACGGGAGGCAGCAGUGGGGAAUAUUGCACAAUGGGCGAAAGCCUGAUGCAGCGACGCCGCGUGAGGGAUGACGGCCUUCGGGUUGUAAACCUCUUUCAGCAGGGAAGAAGCGCAAGUGACGGUACCUGCAGAAGAAGCGCCGGCUAACUACGUGCCAGCAGCCGCGGUAAUACGUAGGGCGCAAGCGUUGUCCGGAAUUAUUGGGCGUAAAGAGCUCGUAGGCGGCUUGUCACGUCGAUUGUGAAAGCCCGAGGCUUAACCUCGGGUCUGCAGUCGAUACGGGCUAGCUAGAGUGUGGUAGGGGAGAUCGGAAUUCCUGGUGUAGCGGUGAAAUGC
rnacentral:rRNA from 2 species